GUUGGCCUCGGAUCAGGUGGGGAUACCCGCUGAACUUAAGCAUAUCAAUAAGCGGAGGAAAAGAAACCAACAGGGAUUGCCUCAGUAACGGCGAGUGAAGCGGCAACAGCUCAAAUUUGAAAUCUGGCGCAAGCCCGAGUUGUAAUUUGCAGAGGAUGUUUCGGGUGAGGCCGCGGUCCAAGUCCCUUGGAACAGGACGUCAUAGAGGGUGAGAACCCCGUACCUGGCCGCCGGCUGCCCCCGCUGUGAAACUCCUUCGACGAGUCGAGUUGUUUGGGAAUGCAGCUCUAAAUUGGUGGUAAAUUCCAUCUAAAGCUAAAUACCGGCCAGAGACCGAUAGCGCACAAGUAGAGUGAUCGAAAGAUGAAAAGCACUUUGAAAAGAGAGUUAAAAAGUACGUGAAAUUGUUGAAAGGGAAGCGCUUGCGGCCAGACUUGCCCGCGGUUGCUCAGCCCGCCCUCUGGCGGGUGCACUCUUCCGCGGUCAGGCCAGCAUCGGUUUGGGCGGUCGGACAAAGGCGCCGGGAACGUGGCCUCCCCUCGGGGAGGUGUUAUAGCCCGGUGCGCAAUGCGGCCAGCCCGGACCGAGGUUCGCGCUCUGCUAGGAUGCUGGCGUAAUGGCCGUAAGCGGCCCGUCUUGAAACACGGACCAAGGAGUCUAACAUCUAUGCGAGUGUUUGGGUGUCAAACCCGUGCGCGUAAUGAAAGUGAACGGAGGUGGGAACCGCAAGGUGCACCAUCGACCGAUCCCGAUGUCUUCGGAAGGAUUUGAGUAAGAGCAUAGCUGUUGGGACCCGAAAGAUGGUGAACUAUGCGUGAAUAGGGUGAAGCCAGAGGAAACUCUGGUGGAGGCUCGCAGCGGUUCUGACGUGCAAAUCGAUCGUCAAAUUUGCGUAUAGGGGCGAAAGACUAAUCGAACCAUUUAGUAGCUGGUUCCUG
rnacentral:rRNA from 1 species